rnacentral:rRNA from 1 species
GUGGGGAAUCUUCCGCAAUGGACGAAAGUCUGACGGAGCAACGCCGCGUGAGUGAUGAAGGUCUUCGGAUUGUAAAGCUCUGUUAAUCGGGACGAAAGAGCCUAGUGUGAAUAAUGCUAGGAAGUGACGGUACCGGAAUAGAAAGCCACGGCUAACUACGUGCCAGCAGCCGCGGUAAUACGUAGGUGGCAAGCGUUGUCCGGAAUUAUUGGGCGUAAAGCGCGCGCAGGCGGAUCUGCCAGUCUGUCUUAAAAGUUCGGGGCUUAACCCCGUGAUGGGAUGGAAACUACAGAUCUAGAGUAUCGGAGAGGAAAGUGGAAUUCCUCGUGUAGCGGUGAAAUGCGUAGAUAUUAGGAAGAACACCAGUGGCGAAGGCGACUUUCUGGACGAAAACUGACGCUGAGGCGCGAAAGCCAGGGGAGCGAACGGGAUUAGAUACCCUGGUAGUCC